GUGACUGGAUGUGAAGGUCGAGCCAAACAUGCCAAGUGUACUUGAUGCACGGAAACCCCUUUAAAAAAGGAAAUAGAAACGAUAUGUUAAAGACAAGAUCUGCCAACGCGAAUCUGCACGGAAAAGUUGGCGAAAUAUCAGAGAUGCCUACCACAACUACAAGAAGAAAUUAGUCAGUAAAAGUGGUGAUGCAGCAAAGAGGGUUAAGAAAAAUAAAUGUGCUGACACUCUGGGCUUCCUUAACCCACACCUCAAACAUCGAGAGACUUCAAGCAAUAUGCCAUAAGUGGAUGAUCUUGAUGUUGAUCUCAACAAUCUGCUAGACAGCUUGACCGAUCAGGUUGCUGAUGAUGGUGAUGUGGACAUGGUGUCACAGGCCCCUGGAUCCCCAGCCAUGCCUUCAGUACCCCAAGUAUCAUCAGAACCCAAGUCCACUCAAUCCAGGAAAAGAAGACGAGAAAGUCAAAGUGCAAGUUUAGAGGUUGACGGUUCUAUAAUCAACAAUCUAGAAAGUAAAAAAUCCAACCAACCUGACCGACCUAGUUUUUUUUUUUCAGCUCCAUGACCAUGUCAGUCAGAGCACUACCACUCAAGAAAACGGCAGAGGUCAAAUUUCAGAUCCAUCAAAUUACCCCUAAGCCUUGGAAUGAGUAAAUGUCAUUUGCGUCAUGUCAGCAUAGCAGUUGAAGAUGAUAAAGAUUCCAAUUGGAGGAAACAUCUUACGGGAUCAGGCAAAGACGCAUGCUCUACAAAUCCCGACGAGAACCAGCCAUUAAGAGAGUGAGAGGUAAAGACCAACCUUCAGCAGAAAAGAACAAGCCUACAUCACAUAAAGCCCCAGGGUCCUCCACUAAGAGUAAGAGUGCCUACCAACGACAAGAAAGCUUCAAGCAAAAUUCAGAGACUUUGAUCAGGGAUGUGAAAUCUCAGCUUUGAAGCUGAUUUCAGCGGUUUUUUUGUUUUGGUUUUUAGCUUUAAUCCCUCAAUCGGUGUGUACAAAAGAAAAGGAGAUUUCUUCAUUUUUUAAAAACCUUUUCCAGCUGUUUUAAUCUAUAUUGAUCAGUAGUCAUUCACAACACCCAGUUAUAAC